rnacentral:rRNA from 1 species
CCGGCACGGGUGAGUAACACGUAUCCAACCUGCCGUCUACUCUUGGACAGCCUUCUGAAGGAAGAUUAAUACAAGAUGGCAUCAUGAGUCCGCAUGUUCACAUGAUUAAAGGUAUUCCGGUAGACGAUGGGGAGGCGUUCCAUUAGAUAGUAGGCGGGGUAACGGCCCACCUAGUCUUCGAUGGAUAGGGGUUCUGAGAGGAAGGUCCCCCACAUUGGAACUGAGACACGGUCCAA